GGGACAGAUUCUCGCCAUCUGUGCACUCAAUUUCUGACCACCAGGAUGUGCACCGACACUCUGGCCAGCAUCUCUGAAACUCAGGACAUUUAAGAACACCAGACACUCCAGGAAGAAGACAGAGAAGAACGCUAUGCAGCUUCCCCACGCUGACUCGAGAAAGCAGCACAGUAGGAUGCAGGGAAGGACAGAGAUGCUGGAUACACAGAGGGACAUACCUGGAGGCUCUGGGCAGGCUUCCUGGAGGAGGCAACAUUUCACCUGACAUCUGAAGGACUAGAUGAAGCUAGCCAGGUAGGGUGGAGGUGGCUAGUCAUCUUUCAACAUGCACACCUUCCCCCCUUUGAUGGCAGAGAGCUGUCACUGGAAAGGGCCUACACCUUCUAGCCCCCCUUCUCCUCGCUGGUGUGGGUUGGCAAUGAAAUCUCGCUGGUGGAAUGUCAGGGGAUGGGUAGGUGUGCCCUCACCCAGCUAAGGCUCUCAAGAAGCAGGUGUGUCGUCUCCAGCAUCUGGGCACAGAUGCUGGCGGGAUGGCAGAACCACACACAGAAGGAGGCAGGAUCGCCGAGUCUGCAGAGAAGAGAGCUGCCCGAGCCUGGAGGAGCACCUGCUCUGUGCCACU